rnacentral:tRNA from 1 species
CCUGGUGGCUCAGACAGUAAAGAAUCUGCCUGCAAUGCAGAAGACCCAGGUUUGAUCCCUGGGUCAGGA